UGAGGGAUAUUGGUCAAUGGGCGCAAGCCUGUACCAGCGACGCCGCGUGGGUGAAGAAGGUCUUCGGAUCGUAAAGCCCUUUUCCCACUGAAGAGGAAGGACGGUAGGUGGGGAAGAAGUCUCGGCUAACUACGUGCCAGCAGCCGCGGUAAAACGUAGGAGACAAGCGUUAUCCGGAGUUACUGGGCGUAAAGGGCGUGCAGGUGGCGUCUUAAGUCUGUUGUGAAAGCGCCUGGCUUAACCGGGCGAGGCCAAUGGAGACUGAGAGGCUGGAGGACGGCGGAGGGGUGUGGAAUUCCGGGUGUAGUGGUGAAAUGCGUAGAGAUCCGGAGGAACACCAGAGGCGAAGGCGGCACUUUAAGCCGUACCUGACACUGAGACGCGACAGCACGGGGAGCAAACG
rnacentral:rRNA from 1 species